AUGGGUCAAAUAAGUCUUCUUCCCCAAAUCAGAGGUAAUCGGAUCAUAUCGAUCGUAUUCCUCAUUCCUCAAAUCAACCAGUCUUAUUACGCCAUUAUCGAUCGGAGCUUUGUUGUUCGCCGCCUGCUCCAUCAACCGGUAGAUUUUUCUCGAUCGGCUUCAUCCCUACCUCGAUCCUCCCUAAAUCAGAGGUAACAUUCUUCUCUCUUCUUUUUUGCUCUAUUUUUCUCGAUCUCUCCAUUGAAUCUUUCUUCUUCACACAUCGUCGCUAUCUGGUCGUCGCCGUCGACUGCUGCUUCUUCCGGUCAUCUUUCUCAUUGACCUUGUGCAGGUACUAUCCUUGAUCCUCCCUAAAUCCCUUCCUCAGUUCCUCCUUCUCCAUUCUUCUGUGAACUUAGCCGGUCAUGAUUUUGUUUCAGAACUUCUAAAUCUUCCAGUGAAUUUUGUUUUAGAACUAAAAUUAUUGUUCAUUACGCAUUACAGAACAUCCCUGUAUCACACUCUCAUACACAUUUAACACAAAUAAACCUCUAUUGCUCUUUUAAAAGGAUUUUGUCAACCAAAUGGUUAAAUGUCAUAUGACUUUAUGUAGAAAAUAAGCAUACAUUGUAUGAUAGUUUAUUGAUCAAAACUAGAGACGAAAACUACAUUUUGUUGUGGUCUAUUGAUGAUAGAAUUAAGAUAAUUUGGUGAUGAAAACUAGAUUAUGCAGUAACUAUGCUUUUGUGUGGUACAUCACAUUACAAACACCUCACUCAUAUUUUCUUUUUUACCUUAAGCAUCAGAAUCUUGUAAGAAAAGCAAACUAAACCUUCUUUGGGCCAUUGUCACGCUCCAUGACUGAUGAGCAAGUUGUGUUGUUGCUUGUACAACUAGUACCAAAACUAGGUUGACUUCUCUCAGCAUCUAUUGAUACUGGAUUUCCUUCAAUGAUCAUGACUGAGGAGCACAUGAUACAAGUGACAAAGCCAUGGCCAUUCUAUGAUCAUCAUAUGUAUCAAUCGCUGUCACAUUUAAUAUCUCUGGUGGAGUGAUUAUACAAUAAUCAGGUCCUUCUUCCUCUGUUGCUCCCAACUAAAAAGUUCCAUGGACAAAACAAUCUUUUCAGCAUUAAACAAAUAAAUGGUACAUAAAUCCUUUUUAUUUUAUUAACUUGUACCUUUCUUAGUUCUGUGCAAAUGGAAAUCAUCCUUUCGGUCUCUUUUACCCUCCAGCUAGCCACUACCAAAUAUCACAAGAACUAUCAACGUCAAGUUUGCUACUUUUCUUUAAAGAAGUAAGAGUAAAUUACAGCUUUUGCCCCUGUGGUAUGUCAAAAGUUGUGGUUUAGGUCCAGAUGUGGUCCCUAAUGUUUCUAAUCAUUAAACUGAGAAAACAUUUGAUUUUAGGUUAGAUUUUAUUGGACUUUUAGAUCAUGAUUUUGUUUAAUUUUGAUUUUUUAUUUUUGGUUGAAUUUGGUUACAUGUCAAAGUUAAAAAAAGAGACUAUAUGGUUUUCAUUAGGGACCACGCAUGUAAAUCAAUGAAACAGCCGGACUAAAACCAUACUUUCGACAUAAUGCAGGGCCAAAGUUAUAAUUUUACUCAAACUUAUUUACAAGAAUCAUACCGUCUCUAAUGGUAUUUGAAUGCAUUUUUCUUCUAUUUCAGACACUCUUACCUUCACUUUCAUUUUCUCAAGUCUCUUCUUUAGCCAUUCAGUUCUUAAACAUACUUAUGUUGUGUUUCUUUUUUUACCAUCGAGUGUUGUUUGGACUACUGGUAUUUAAAUCAUCUUUGUUGAAAGGUGCCUAGAGUGAAAUAUGUGGAUAUUAAGAGGACAUCAGGCAGUUACUUUCAUCAUAUAUUUACUGAGGCUAUAGUAUUGGAGAGGAGUUUAAUACUUAACUAUGUAGUAAAUAAGUCAACAACAAAGUAAAAAAAGAAAUGCCUCUAUUUUUACUGUAAAUCCAAAACAGAAGCAAUUGACAGUCCAUAUUGUGCAUUGUUCUCUUCGUUUUCUUUUAAGCUUUUUGUGAUGUACUAUAUCUUUAUAUUAUUAUAUAUAUGAUUGAGAAAUUGUUAUCAGUAAUUUAAAAUUCAAUAUGUAAUUUUGUAAUUUGCAAUUGUAUUAUUGUGAUUUCUUUUUAAGGUGAACAUGGGUUAGAUAGUCUACAGUUAGUCUCUCCUUACCUUUUGACAUUGUUGGGUUCUGGUUUGUGGAAAUAACAACACACUUUGGUGAAAAUGAAGGAAAGAAAUAAAAGAGAAUAAAUUUGUAAAUAGUUAGGACUUAAUGGUAAGAGAUGAGAUUCUUGUCAUGAAGAAUAAAAUGUAAGUUUUUUUUAGAUAAAGAAAGAAAGAGAAGAGUACUUAAGCCUUUUGGUUUGUUUGGUUAAUAUGCAGUCUUUUCUUGUAGGCAAAUAGCAUGUAAUGUACCUUAACAUCUAUACUUUCUAAAAUGCAAUUUCUUUUUUUGAGUAGUUACAAUUUAACUAUCAAAAUUCGGAAAUGUCUCAUAAGGUUUGAUAAUUUUUUCUGAAAACAGAGUAGAUGUGUCUUGUUCCAUAACGCUUUGUUAGAUGGCUUGUUUGUUCUACAUAAAUAUAAUUUUGAUAACCCUUUAAAUGUAUUAAACUACAAGUGGUCAUGUUCACAUCUUCCCAAAUAAUAUUUUGUUAACUUUUUCUUUGUUUUUAUUUUGUUGAGAUAAAGUUUUUUUUUGUUUUUCUUUGAUCUUCUUUGUUCCAGGUUCCAAUCCACUCUACUUCACUCCAAUCCAAUCCAACCCAACACAAUCUAGGUGAUAACAAAACUAUCAUGUUUAAGCUUUGUGUUUUAUCUUUUAUACUUACUAUGACAUUGUAUUUUAGAAAGUAGUUCCAUUUUGAGUUUGAAAGGGGCUAAUCCUAAAAGUAAGUUGUUAUUUUUUUCAUUUUUAAAGGGCUAAGUCUAAAUGCAAAAAAUAGCAAUCUACUUUCAUUAAAGUAUUUGCAUUAUACUUUUAGUUUUUGUAUUUAGUUCAUAUUGCUACAAUUAGUUAAAAAUUUCAAAGUAAAAAGUAGGAUGCUAAAAUAAAUAAGAAAGCAAAAGUACGUUGUUAUUUUAAAGUAAAAAGUAGUAUGCUUAAAUUUUCAGUAAGAUAUUUCAAUAAUAUUUGUGAACCUAAAGAUUUAUAACUUCCUAAGUUUUUAAAAUACCAUUAUUUAGUUUUAUUUUGAUUUUUAUAAGGAUUAAGCCUAAACGCAUAAAAUAGCAAUCUACUUUCUUUUAGUUUUAUAUUAUAGCAUUCUAGUUUCAUUUUUAUUUUUAAAAGGACUAAGCAUAAAUACAUAAAAUAGCAAUGUACUUUCAUUUAGUUGUAUUUUAUAGUUUUUCUAGUUCCAUUUUGAUUUUUAAGAGGACUAAUCCUAAAAAGUAUGUUAUUUUAUUUUUCAUUUUUAAAGAGUGGAGCCUAAAUGCAAAAAAUAACAAUCUACUUUCAUUUACUUUUGUAUCAUAGCAAUCUAGUUCCAUUUUGAUUUUUAAAUGGGUUUAGCCUAAAAAUAAGUUGCUAAUUUUUCAUCUUUAAAUAUCUAAGCCUUAAUGUAAAAAUAGCAAUCUACUUUAAUAUUGAUUUUUUUUGUAUAUAUGUAGAAGAAGCUUUGGGGACAUGAUCCGGCACACCAUGAACUAUUCUUGUAUACACACACUAAGAAUCACGAUGGAGUGACUUUUUUAGUUGACAAAGCUAAAAAAAUUCAUGUAAGUUUUAUUUUUAAUAAUUUCAUGUAAAUUUUAUUUUGAUUUUUUUGUGUAAGUUUUAUCUCAACACAAUUAUAAAAUUAUAGGAUGAUUUUAUGGAACGAUGUGCUCGAUUGGAAGCAAUAGGAGAGGAAAUUGAUGAGGACAAACUAUUUGAUGAUGUUGUCGGGGGACAUGAUUGAAAAAAGCGAUUAUAUGGAUUUGGCUCAUAUCGAAAGCGCAUUCGUUCUAGUAAAGGAUCUUCUGAAAUGCAUCGCGAACAAUACGAGGAUAAUAAUGCCGAGACAAAAGUCGAGAUUGAGAAUUCGAAGAAGUUAGUUGAGACACAAUGCGAACAAUAUGAGGAUAUUCAACAAAAAUAUGAGGAUGUUCAGCAAAAAUAUGAGGAUUCUCAGAAAAAGAAUGUGGAGUUUCAGCAGAAAAAUAUGGAUGUUCAAGCAAAGUUUGAACAACAACUUGCACAAGCAAUGAAUGUCAUUAACACAUUGAGUGAACAGGUCAAAACUUUUAUUAUUCAAUGAUAGAAUAUUAUGUAUGGAAUAAUGUUUUACGUUAAAAUUGUAGCGACUUUUGAUAUUGAAAUAUGUAUCUUUUGAUGUACUGAUAUUUCUUUUAGUUUCUAUAGAAAUACUUUGUUAUUUUUGGUUUUAUA
rnacentral:lncRNA from 1 species